GCGCCCGUAAUUUAGUGGCAGAAUGCGAGCUUCCCAAGCUUGAUGUGAGGGUUCGAUUCCCUCCGGGCGUA
rnacentral:tRNA from 1 species